GGAAAGAAACCCAGCAUGAAUCCCGCCGUUGUUCUGGCGGCGGGAGAUGUGGUGUUCGGGAGGUUCCGCUUUCUCGUCGCGAUCACUCCUGUCCAAGUUCGUCUUGAACGGGGCCGUUUUCCCGUAGAGGGUGCCAGGCCCGUAGCGACGGAGGAUCGCGGCGAGAGGGACUCUCCUUAGAGUCGGGUUGCUUGAGAGUGCAGCCCUAAGUGGGUGGUAAACUCCAUCUAAGGCUAAAUAUUACCGCGAGACCGAUAGCGAACAAGUACCGUAAGGGAAA
rnacentral:rRNA from 1 species